AACGAACGCUGGCGGCAGGCCUAGCACAUGCAAGUCGAGUGCCCCGCAAGGGGAGCGGCGGACGGGUGAGUAACGCGUGGGAAUAUGCCCUUUGCUACGGAAUAGUCUCGGGAAACUGGGGGUAAUACCGUAUACGCCCUUUGGGGGAAAGAUUUAUCGGCGAAGGAUUAGCCCGCGUUGGAUUAGGUAGUUGGUGGGGUAAUGGCCUACCAAGCCGACGAUCCAUAGCUGGUUUGAGAGGAUGAUCAGCCACACUGGGACUGAGACACGGCCCAGACUCCGACGGGAGGCAGCAGUGGGGAAUCUUAGACAAUGGGGGCAACCCUGAUCUAGCCAUGCCGCGUGAGUGAUGAAGGCCUUAGGGUUGUAAAGCUCUUUCAGCUGGGAAGAUAAUGACGGUACCAGCAGAAGAAGCCCCGGCUAACUCCGUG
rnacentral:rRNA from 1 species